AUGUGAGUUUACAGGAACUGAAGUCUGAAAAAGGUGGUAAAAUUGACAAGGAGAAUCAUGACCAUCUUGCUGAAGGUAAAAACCUCCCCAAGGAGAAGAGGAACAAGU